GACAGAGGGUGCAAACGUUGUUCGGAAUUACUGGGCGUAAAGCGCGUGUAGGCUGCUCGGAAAGUCGGAUGUGAAAGCCCUGGGCUCAACCUAGGAAGUGCAUUCGAAACUACCGAGCUAGAGUUCUGGAGAGGAAGGCGGAAUUCUCGGUGUAGAGGUGAAAUUCGUAGAUAUCGAGAGGAACACCGGUGGCGAAGGCGGCCUUCUGGACAGUGACUGACGCUGAGACGCGAAAGCGUGGGGAUCGAACAGG
rnacentral:rRNA from 1 species